GUUUUAAUAAUUUAAUCAAAAAUAUUGAUCUUGUAAAUCAAAUAUAAGAACCCUAUCUUUUAAAACU
rnacentral:tRNA from 1 species